ensembl:ncRNA K02A4.14 ncRNA
CAAUGACGUGUAGCGACUAGAGCCCAACUAUCUUUUUUUUGCCAAUUGUUUUUGCCUUUCUCCGGGUCAAAAGCUUUCGUCUUCCGAUCAGGAAGAGAUGGGCGGGGUCUCGUCCUGACGGGAGGCCGCGGUCGAUCGGUCGGUCGCCGACGCCUUCCCGCCCCUCAACACUGCCCCGCCGUUACCCUCCCAUCGGCCACACUCCUCACAACAUCUCAUCAUUUGUUCGCGCUGCUCUCCCCACGUGCGCCCGCCACCACGGGGGC